CUGACCAUAGAAAGAAUUUUGACACCGCAGAAAUGGCAGAAUCCUUCUACUUCGUAUCUACCGAUUUGUACUGAUCUGACCGCUGAAAGAGUUUCGUCGCAAAAACUGGAAAAUCCUUCUACUUUGCAAAUCACGAAUUUUUCGAUCUCUCCAAAUUUGCAUACUGAGAAGAGUAUCAGACAGGCGACUUCGUGCUUCCAAGGACUUGAAGAACAUUCCUUCCACAGCAACGUAACAAACAAUGAUACAGAGAAUUUUCCAAUAAGUAUAUCCUCUAAUGUACUUCGUUCAAUAGAAAAUGAACAAGAACAGAUUCCAAAACAAGUACAUU